rnacentral:rRNA from 1 species
UCAAGCGGAUAAGGUCAGGGGGCCGCAACUCGUAGCAGCGACGUCUCGCGUGAGGUCGACGGCCUCGGGUUGUAAACCUCUUCAGUAGGGAAGCAAGCGAAAGUGACGGUACCUGCAGAAGAAGCGCCGGCUAACUACGUGCCAGCAGCCGCGGUAAUACGUAGGGCGCAAGCGUUAUCCGGAUUAUUGGGCGUAAAGAGCUCGUAGGCGGUUUGUCGCGUCUGCCGUGAAAGUCCGGGGCUCAACUCCGGUCUGCGGUGGGUACGGGCAGACUAGAGUGAUGUAGGGGAGACUGGAAUUCCUGGUGUAGCGGUGAAAUGCGCAGUAUCAGGAGGAACACCGUGGCGAAGGCAGGGUCUGGGCAUUAACUGACGCUGAAGAGCGAAAGCUGGGGAGCGAACAGGAUAGAUACCCUGGUAGUCCAUGCCUAAACGUUGGGCACUAGGGGAGGGGGACAUUCCACGUUUUGCGCGCCUAGCUAACGCAUUAAGUGCCCCGCCGGGGGAGUACGGUCGGAAGGCUAAAACUCAGAUGAAUUGACGGGG